UACGAGUGCCUCAAGCGUUAUCCGGAAUCAUUGGGCGUAAAGGUUGUGUAGGUGGUCAUAUAAGUCUUGUGUGAAAUCUUCGGGCUCAACUCGAAGUCUGCACGAGAAACUAUCUGGCUUGAGUGUGGGAGAGGUGAGUGGAAUUCCUGGUGUAGCGGUGAAAUGCGUAGAUAUCAGGAGGAACACCUGUGGCGAAGGCGGGUCUCUGGGCCGAUACUGACGCUGAGGAGCGAAAGCGUGGGGAGCAAACAGG
rnacentral:rRNA from 1 species